CUACUCUUGACAUCCAGAGAACUUAGCAGAGAUGCUUUGGUGCCUUCGGGAACUCUGAGACAGGUGCUGCAUGGCUGUCGUCAGCUCGUGUUGUGAAAUGUUGGGUUAAGUCCCGCAACAAGCGCAACCCUUAUCCUUUGUUGCCAGCGGUUCGGCCGGGAACUCAAAGGAGACUGCCAGUGAUAAACUGGAGGAAGGUGGGAAUGACGUCAAGUCAUCAUGGCCCUUACGAGUAGGGCUACACACGUGCUACAAUGGCAUAUACAAAGAGAAGCGACCUCGCGAGAGCAAGCGGACCUCAUAAAGUAUGUCGUAGUCCGGAUUGGAGUCUGCGACUCGACUCCAUGAAGUUGGAAUCGCUAGUAAUCGUAGAUCAGAAUGCUACGGUGAAUACGUUCCC
rnacentral:rRNA from 1 species